ACAGGAUGUCCAAUUAAACGUCAAUUCGAUCUGCUCUGGAGUUGUUUCCUUCCCCUCUGAAUAAAAAUCUCACCUUUAAAUGGGAGCUGUGGAAAGACCAAGCAGCCCCUUCUGGUGCACACCAAAGACAGUCCUUUCCCACAACGGUAACUCACUGUUGCCAGGAGGCACCUAGAACACAUUGGCACUGUGAGGGCACCAAGCCUUUGUGCUAAUAACAGCAACGUUCUAAACAUAGAAAGCCUGAAUUCCUGUCAAAGAAAUCAGUUUGCAUCCCAGCAAAACAAAAUCUGUGCAUGUUUGUAGCCUUCCCUCACAGCAGACCAACCCAGGCACCCCAGCUGCAAAUCCACCUACCUGAGUCAGAUGAGAACUUCUAAUUGCUCAUAUGCUGUGGCUGGCUGCAGAGUCACAUUGGACCUGUUUGUGGAUGAAAGAAGCUUUAUUUAGUGAACUUAAAAAUGUGCUCAAUUUCAAACUGAAUCACGGCAAUGUCUAAAAGUUCUGAUGAAUUUGGCCUACUAUGGCAUGGUGCAUUUAAUUCAGCUGGAGAAGAUGAAGAGUCCAGUCUCUUUAAUUAGUUUACACUGGAGAAAGCAUCUGGUCUGCUGACCUAGGAGUAUUCUGGGCACAAAAGUAUUACCUUGUAAUUGCUUUUUCAAGAAGUGAAGUUGGAGAUCGCUUAGUUGAUACUGUCGAUACUGCAUUUGUGUGAUUCUGCAAGAACAUCUCUGUUGUGUGUUCUUGAAAGUUUGAAAACUGUGGGAAACCUAUGAAAGGCCACACUGAACUACCCAGGAGGCUGGAGGACAAAAAAGAAAGGAAAAGCUUCCAAUCCAGCUGUUCAGUCUGCUAUCUCCACAUGACAACUACUGCCAGAAACAGCCAGCUUCCUUUCAUGAGCAGAGGGGUGGGAAACAUGGCAAGAGAGAGGACUUCAGAUGCUGGCCAGGUCCAGAAGAGCCCUGCUGAGCUUUGCCACGAGAAACAAUGUAAGGCUUGUCACAGAGUGAAGUGCCCAACACCAGGGAAGAAAUGGAAAACGUUCCCUGCUUAAUUUGGCCACAUAACACUCCAAGACACGCCAAAAGGGUUGGAAAGCACUCAGUGUCACAGCUCUUAUUCAAAUAAAUGGACUUUUCUUUCUGUA